ensembl:snoRNA SNORA70 Small nucleolar RNA SNORA70
CUGUAGUCAAUUAAGCUGACUAGGUUCCUUUCCUCAUGGGCCUGGUGUGAGACGGCGGUAAAUAGCAGCCUCUGUUGUAGUGUGUGCAGUCUGUCGCCUAUAUGGGUUGCCCUAAGGGACCUUGGAGACAGUU